CACGUAGGGCGCAAGCGUUGUCCGGAAUUAUUGGGCGUAAAGAGCUCGUAGGUGGUUUGUUACGUCUGCUGUGAAAACCUAGGGCUUAAUCCUGGGCUUGCAGUGGAUACGGGCAGACUAGAGGUAGGUAGGGGAGAAUGGAAUUCCUGGUGUAGCGGUGAAAUGCGCAGAUAUCGGGAGGAACACCAGUAGCGAAGGCGGCUCGCUGGGCCAUUCCUGACGCUGAGACGCGAAAGCUAGGGGAGCAAACGGG
rnacentral:rRNA from 1 species